rnacentral:rRNA from 1 species
AGCAGCCGCGGUAAUUCCAGCUCCAAUAGCGUAUAUUAAAGUUGUUGCAGUUAAAAAGCUCGUAGUUGAAUUUCGGGGUUAGUAGGUUGGUCAUGCCUCUGGUAUGUACUGGUCUCACUGAUUCCUCCUUCCUGAUGAGCCGUAAUGCCAUUAAUUUGGUGUUGCGGGGAAUUUGGACUGUUACUUUGAAAAAAUUUAGAGUGUUUAAAGCAAGCUAACGCUUGAAUACAUUAGCAUGGAAUAAUGAAAUAGGACGUUCGAUCCUAUUUUGUUGGUUUCUAAGAUUGACGUAGUGAUUAAUAGGGAUAGUUGGGGGCAUUAGUAUUCAAUUGUCAGAGGUGAAAUUCUUGGAUUUAUUGAAGACUAACUACUGCGAAAGCAUUUGCCAAGGAUGUUUUCAUUAAUCAAGAACGAAAGUUAGGGGAUCGAAGACGAUCAGAUACCGUCGUAGUCUUAACCAUAAACUAUGCCGACUAGGGAUCGGAUGAUGUUAAUUUUUUAAUGACUCAUUCGGCGCCUU